GACGAACGCUGGCGGCGUGCUUAACACAUGCAAGUCGAACGGAAAGGCCCUGCUUUUGUGGGGUGCUCGAGUGGCGAACGGGUGAGUAACACGUGAGUAACCUGCCCUUGACUUUGGGAUAACUUCAGGAAACUGGGGCUAAUACCGGAUAGGAGCUCCUGCUGCAUGGUGGGGGUUGGAAAGUUUCGGCGGUUGGGGAUGGACUCGCGGCUUAUCAGCUUGUUGGUGGGGUAGUGGCUUACCAAGGCUUUGACGGGUAGCCGGCCUGAGAGGGUGACCGGCCACAUUGGGACUGAGAUACGGCCCAGACUCCUACGGGAGGCAGCAGUGGGGAAUAGUGCACAAUGGGCGGAAGCCUGAUGCAGCAACGCCGCGUGCGGGAUGACGGCCGUCGGGGUGUAAACCGCUUUCGCCUGUGACGAAGCGUGAGUGACGGUAAUGGGUAAAGAAGCACCGGCUAACUACGUG
rnacentral:rRNA from 1 species